rnacentral:rRNA from 1 species
AGGCAGCAGUGGGGAAUAUUGCACAAUGGGCGCAAGCCUGAUGCAGCCAUGCCGCGUGUAUGAAGAAGGCCUUCGGGUUGUAAAGUACUUUCAGCGAGGAGGAAGGCAUUGUGGUUAAUAACCGCAGUGAUUGACGUUACUCGCAGAAGAAGCACCGGCUAACUCCGUGCCAGCAGCCGCGGUAAUA